CUGGCGGCGUGCUUAACACAUGCAAGUCGAGCGAAGCACUUAUGUUUGAUUCUUCGGAUGAAGACUUUUGUGACUGAGCGGCGGACGGGUGAGUAACGCGUGGGUAACCUGCCUCAUACGGGGGGAUAACAGUUAGAAAUGACUGCUAAUACCGCAUAAGACCACGGUACCGCAUGGUACAGUGGUAAAAACUACGGUGGUAUGAGAUGGACCCGCGUCUGAUUAGGUAGUUGGUGGGGUAACGGCCUACCAAGCCGACGAUCAGUAGCCGACCUGAGAGGGUGACCGGCCACAUUGGGACUGAGACACGGCCCACACUCCUACGGGAGGCAGCAGUGGGGAAUAUUGCACAAUGGAGGAAACUCUGAUGCAGCGACGCCGCGUGAAGGAUGCAGUAUUUCGGUAUGUAAACUUCUAUCAGCAGGGAAGAAAAUGACGGUACCUGACUAAGAAGCCCCGGCUAACUACGUGCCAGCAGCCGCGGUAAUACGUAGGGGGCAAGCGUUAUCCGGAUUUACUGGGUGUAAAGGGAGCGUAGACGGCACGGCAAGCCAGAUGUGAAAGCCCGGCGCUCACCCCCGGGACUGCAUUUGGAACUGCUGAGCUAGAGUGUCGGAGAGGCAAGUGGAAUUCCUAGUGUAGCGGUGAAAUGCGUAGAUAUUAGGGACGAACACCAGUGGGCGAAGGCGGGCUUGCUAGAACGAUGACUGACGUUGAGGCUCGAAAGCGUGGGGAGCAAACAGGAUUAGAUACCCUGGGUAGUCCACGCCGUAAACGAUGACUGCUUAGGUGUCGGGUGGCAAAGCCAUUCGGUGCCGCAGCUAACGCAAUAAGCAGUCCACCUGGGGAGUACGUUCGCAAGAAUGAAACUCAAAGGAAUUGACGGGGACCCGCACAAGCGGUGGAGCAUGUGGUUCAAUUCGAAGCAACGCGAAGAACCUUACCUGAUCUUGACAUCCCGAUGACCGCUUCGUAAUGGAAGUUUUUCUUCGGAACAUCGGUGACAGGUGGUGCAUGGUUGUCGUCAGCUCGUGUCGUGAGAUGUUGGGUUAAGUCCCGCAACGAGCGCAACCCCUAUCCUCAGUAGCCAGCAGGUUAAGCUGGGCACUCUGGAGAGACUGCCAGGGAUAACCUGGAGGAAGGUGGGGAUGACGUCAAAUCAUCAUGCCCCUUAUGACCAGGGCUACACACGUGCUACAAUGGCGUAAACAAAGAGAAGCGAACUCGCGAGGGUAAGCAAAUCUCAAAAAUAACGUCUCAGUUCGGAUUGUAGUCUGCAACUCGACUACAUGAAGCUGGAAUCGCUAGUAAUCGCAGAUCAGAAUGCUGCGGUGAAUACGUUCCCGGGUCUUGUACA
rnacentral:rRNA from 1 species